UGCCAGCCGCCGCGGUAAUACGGAGGGGGUUAGCGUUAAUCGGAAUUAUUGGGCGUAAAGCGCGCGUAGGCGGCUUGGUCAGUCGAAUGUGAAAGCCCUGGGCUUAACCUGGGAAUUGCACUCGAUACUGCCUGGCUAGAGUAUGGGAGAGGGAAGUGGAAUUUCCGGUGUAGCGGUGAAAUGCGUAGAUAUCGGAAGGAACACCAGUGGCGAAGGCGACUUCCUGGCCCAAUACUGACGCUCAGGUGCGAAAGCGUGGGUAGCGGACAGGAUUAGAUA
rnacentral:rRNA from 1 species